ACAAAGUCUGGCCUGCCCACUGAAUUUUAUUUAAAGGGCCGCGGUAAUUUGACCGUGCGAAGGUAGCAUAAUCAGUAGUUCUUUAAUUGGGGGCUGGAAUGAAUGGUCGGACAAGGGGCCCGCUGUCUCUUAUGCAGGAUUUGAAGUUUACUUUUAAGUGAAAAGGCUUAAAUGUUCUUGGGGGACGAUAAGACCCUAUAAAACUUUACAGUUUUGCUUGUGCUUUUGUGAUAUAGUGUUUAAAGUUGGUGAUAAGCGGUCUGUUGUGUUGGGGCGGCAAAGAUAAAAUAAGUAACUGUCAGGAAAAAAAAAUAAAAAUAAUUAGAGUAGUUGAUCCUUUUGUUUAGAGAUUAGAAGAUUAAGUUACUUUAGGGAUAACAGCGUAAUUCUCUUUGAGAGUUCUUAUCGACAAGAGUAGUUGCGACCUCGAUGUUGAAUUAAGGUUUCUUUUAAGUGUAGCAGCUUAAUUUAGUGGGUCUGUUCGACCCU
rnacentral:rRNA from 1 species